GCUGCCGUAGCUCAACCUGAUUAGAGUGCCGGACUCAUAAUCCAGAAGUCCUGGGUUCAAAUACCGGCGGCAUGG
rnacentral:tRNA from 1 species